rnacentral:rRNA from 1 species
AUGUGUAAUCCCCGGGGCUCAACCUGGGAACUGCAUCUGAUACUGGCAAGCUUGACUCUCGUAGAGGGGGGUAGAAUUCCAGGUGUCGCGGUGAAAUGCGUAUAGAUCUGGAGGAAUACCGGUGGCGAAGGCCGCCCCCUGGACAAAGACUGACCCUCAGGUGCCAAAGCGUGGGGAGCAAACCGGAUUAGAUACCCUGGUAGUCCACGCGGUAAACAAUGUCGACUUGGAGGUUGUGCCCUUGAAGCGUGACUUCCGGAGCUAACGCGUUAAGUCGACCGCCUGGGGAGUACGGCCUCAAGGUUAAAACUCAAAUGAAUUGACGGGGGCCCGCACAAGAA